rnacentral:lncRNA from 1 species
AUCCGCCGCCCUCGGGGGCCGCGUCCCGUGUCCUCGCGCCGCGCGGUGCCUCCUGCGGUCCCCGGGCGUCCUCACCUCAUAUCCCCCGGGCCUCGCCGUCCGCGCCGCAGACGCGUCGCCGCCCCCGGCGAGCCACCCGGACACUGCCCGGGCCCGGUGGAAGGACACGAAAAGGAGUCCGUGACCGACGGCGGAGGGACACCACGUCGGCAGCAAGCGUGCGCGCCCCUGUCCGGGGCUGGCCGCCGCGGUGGCUUCGACGGGAUUUUGUGAGGUGAGGUGGAGGGACGCCAGGCAAAAAGAAGUUCCUCGCCGGCGGCUCCCGACGGCGGAGGCACAAGAGCGACUUUCGAGAGAACGAGCCGCGUCGUUGCCGUCGCUUCGUCUCGCAGCGGAGGAAUCGCGCGAGCGUCGAGUUUCCAGUGAAGGAAUAGAAGGUGUUUGGGCAGGAGAGGAACACCAGUCACCCUCAUCCAUUUCACUGUCAGAUUUCAGCUACCCAUGGUCAAGUGCAAUCUGAGGAUGUUAAAUAAAAAAUUCUAGAAA